rnacentral:rRNA from 1 species
GAUGAACGCUGGCGGCGUGCCUAAUACAUGCAAGUCGAGCGAACAGACGAGGAGCUUGCUCCUCUGACGUUAGCGGCGGACGGGUGAGUAAAACGUGGAUAACCUACCUCUAAGACUGGGAUAACUUCGGGAAACCGGAGCUAAUACCGGAUAAUAUAUUGAACCGCAUGGAUCAAUAGUGAAAGACGGUUUUGCUGUCACUUAUAGAUGGAUCAGCGCCGCAUUAGCUACUUGGUAAGGUAACGGCUUACCAAGGCAACGAUGCGUAGCCGACCUGAUGGGGUGAGCGGCCACACUGGAAGUGAGACACGGUCCAGACUCCUACGGGAGGCAGCAGUAGGGAAUAUUCCACAAAGGGCGAAAGCCUGACGGAGCAAAGCCGCGUGAGUGAUGAAGGUCUUCGGGUCGUAAAACUCUGUUAUUAGGGAAGAACAAAUGUGUAAGUAACUAUGCACGUCUUGACGGUACCUAAUCAGAAAGCCACGGCUAACUACGUG